GACGAACGCUGGCGGCGUGCUUAACACAUGCAAGUCGAGCGGUAAGGCCCUUUCGGGGGUACACGAGCGGCGAACGGGUGAGUAACACGUGGGUGACCUGCCCUCAGCUCUGGGAUAAGCCUGGGAAACCGGGUCUAAUACUGGAUAUGACUCCAUGACGCAUGUUGUGGGGUGGAAAGCCUUGUGCGGCUGAGGAUGGGCCCGCGGCCUAUCAGCUUGUUGGUGGGGUGAUAGCCUACCAAGGCGACGACGGGUAGCCGGCCUGAGAGGCGACCGGCCACACUGGGACUGAGACACGGCCCAGACUCCUACGGGAGGCAGCAGUGGGGAAUCUUGCGCAAUGGGCGAAAGCCUGACGCAGCGACGCCGCGUGAGGGAUGACGGCCU
rnacentral:rRNA from 1 species